GCUCUCUUUUCGGGAAGCUGGGACACCGCAGGCGGAAGGAGCCAACUCUACUGUGUUUCCCAAGCCUGGUGAAGGGGCCUCUCUCUGGAGGGUUGCAGCUGAUGAGGGACAGGAACAGCUUUCCCGCUCUUCCACCUGCCUCAGGCGUUAAUGAGGGGGCAUCUUUCCCUGACUCAUGCCACCACAUGACAGAUGAGUAAUGGGGACAGCUCUGCCAUGCUAACAACUUCCAGCAUGGCUCAUCCACACCUCCACCAACAGGAUCAGCUCUAUUAUACUGCCCAGGUGAAAGCGUGAGAGAAACCCACAGAAGGCAGUGAUUCCGGAGUUCCUGAGUUCAGAGGGUUUAUUCAGUGAAUUUUGCUUACCCUUUGUGUCCAGGUAUAAUCAAUUGAGUUCCAGCACUGCCACCAAGAAUGCCAGGAAGAUUUUCCUUUAGAGACCUCAACUCAAUAAAGCCAAGCUUUUCAGAUGCUACAGGUAGAAAUAAUUCUGGACAACUUGGAAUGAAGCUAAGUUAAGAAAUUUCUUGUUAUUUUGUUAGAGACACAUAAAAAAUG